rnacentral:rRNA from 1 species
AGUGAACGCUGGCGGUAGGCCUAACACAUGCAAGUCGAACGGCAGCACAGUAAGAGCUUGCUCUUACGGGUGGCGAGUGGCGGACGGGUGAGGAAUACAUCGGAAUCUACUUUUUCGUGGGGGAUAACGUAGGGAAACUUACGCUAAUACCGCAUACGACCUACGGGUGAAAGCAGUGGAUCUUCGGACCUUUCGCGAUUGAAUGAGCCGAUGUCGGAUUAGCUAGUUGGCUGGGUAAAGGCCCACCAAGGCGACGAUCCGUAGCUGGUCUGAGAGGAUGAUCAGCCACACUGGAACUGAGACACGGUCCAGACUCCUACGGGAGGCAGCAGUGGGGAAUAUUGGACAAUGGGCGCAAGCCUGAUCCAGCCAUACCGCGUGGGUGAUGAAGGCCUUCGGGUUGUAAAGCCCUUUUGUUGGGAAAGAAAAGCAGCAGGUUAAUACCCCGCUGUUCUGACGGUGCCCAAAGAAUAAGCACCGGCUAACUUCGUG